UCUGAGCCGUUGAGUUAGCCGUUGCCGCAGGAACUCAAGGACCUUCCUCAAGGAGAGGAUCCGGACUCUCCAAAAAGAAGAUGGAAAGCUGUAAAUCGAUAACCUAGAAGAGAGGGGAGAAGAGAGAGGGUUCGAAAGGGAGACUGGUGUAGCCGCCGCCCUACUCUUCUUUCUUCUAAUCUCUGCCGCCUCAUAUCCACCCCCAACCGCCUUAGACCUCCUCUAAUGGAGGUCCAUGCUCAGGCCAAACGAGGCUUCUCUGUCAAAGAAGACGAAGUAGCUUCACGAUUGUGAAUAAGCGAAUUGAUACAUUUGAUGAUAGUUUGAAGAAAUUGGUUGAUGAGAUGUUCGAUGUAAUGUACAAGUAAGAUUUCUUAACUAUGUAUUUGAUACUGACAGUACGGGUUUCUCUAUUGUUGGUCAAGAGCAUUUGAGUUGGAGUUUCUCGUACCCUGAAGAUUUUUGAAACUUGAAUUUUAAUAUGAACUUCUGUUGUAUAGUAUUAUAGUUUACACCACUGACCUGUUAGGUUGUGGCAUACUUCUGAGUACUAAUCUAAAUUGAUCAGGCACUUUUUGCCAAAAGUAAUCAUUUGUGUUGCUUUUGAAGCUUGAGAGCUUGACAUAAUGAUGGUGAAAAAAGAUUAACACAUAAUGCCUACUCUUUUUUAAAACAGAGCCUUGAAUUAAAACUUAUAGAAGAAGCAAAUCUGUUACCGAGUGUCUGAAGGGUUGCUGAAAAGUCAUGGAAAGAUAUGGAGGAGAUGGUAUCUAAGAAACAGAUGGCCAAAGAAUUGGCAAAACUAAGAAGAGAGAUGUUGGAGUUGCUAUCAAAGAAACAGAAUGGGGAAUGUCAAGCAAUUGUAGUCUCAAAUCUGUCUGCGACCAAUCAGAAGUUGGAUCUUGAUACUUCUUUGUUGGUUCCUUUCAAAUCUGACCUUGAUAGUUCAUUUAUCACAUUGGAAAAGUAUACGGAACAACUGAUGGUUAUCUCAGAAUACAUGAGCAGAAUUGAGGAAGAGAUAAAAAAGCUUAAGUCCAAGGUGGAAGAAGAAGAAACAAAGUCGGACUCAUCAGCAUUAAUGGUGGUGACAGAGUUGUACUGAAAAAGAGAAAGAAAGUGAGAGAAAAUGGCAAACAACAGGAAGUGGGAACAAAAGGAGCUGAUAAUCAGAGCCAAACAAGCACAGCAGUAGAAAGGACAGCAGCAGAGGAAAAAGCAGUAAAGAUACAGAGGCUGAAGAGUGGGUUUAGGAUCUGCAAACCCCAGGGGACUUUCCUUUGGCCAAACAUGGUCAGCAACAACAACAACAAAUGCAACACCAUUACCAGCAUGUUGUCUUCUUCUCAGGUUGUGGUCCAGGUUGAAGAUCUUUUAGUGGUCCAGAUUUUUCAAUUAAAACUUGUAGGAACCAAGCGAAAUUGCAACGGGCAAGAAAAAUUUUCAUAGAGAAACUCAGGGUGCAUUGUGAAGAAAGUGGUGAAGAAAGCUCAGAGAUGGAAUCGGGUGUAUGCACUGAAGUGCCACAUAUCACAUGAAGUGAACCAUUUACAUGAGGGGCUUAAGCAUGUAAGUGUUAUUGCUGAACUGAUGUAAGGCUUCUCCUUCUUUGGGCCAUAGUGCGAUUUACAUUAAAGAUUCACGUAUCACUAGCUUGCCAAGUUUUCUGGAAAAGGGAAUCAAAUCCGAAGGCCAAGAUUUUGUGGGUAACUUCAGUUUUCAACAUGCUCAUAUUUUUUAAGGAAAAUGCAUCCCUGCACUGUACCCCUGUUUACUGUGGCAUGGUUAGGUCUUAUCUGGUGAAGUUGGUGGUCAAGCUCCCAAGAGGACAAAAACCUUGACACUAAGAGAUGUCCUUGGUAAAAGCUUAAAUGCUUGGAUAAUGGGUGGUCUAUCAAUCUAAGUUCAUGCAACUUGGGCCUGUGACCACCUCUCGGGUGCUUCAUUGUAAAAUAAAUGUACUGUAUUCUUUGAAUUUGGCAAGUAAAAAUUUACAGAUAUUUUGAUCAUACUUUUGUAUGCCCUUUUAAUGAUAUUCUUUUUGGACGGUUUUGAAGUUGAGGAUAAUUUUUGAUGUUGAGAAAUAUAGUUUUUGGAUGGUUUGGAAUGCACAGACAGUUUUUGGAUGUUUGAAA